AGGAUAUUAUCUUCGUAUGAAAAAGCUCUGCUAAUUCUAAGAUGGAAUGCAUCAACUUCCAAGUCUCAGAACAUGAGUCAAGCAACAGCAACCUUGUUUUCAGAGUCACCAAUAUCUAUCAGCGCAAGUCCUCUGCGGGAUGACAAGGAUCAUAAUCAAGAGUUUAAACACGAUUCAAAGAAAAGGUAAAUUUCGCAAGAGCAGUUUUCUGCCACAAAAACAUCAGCUAUGUGCUAUGUCUAAUAAAUUAUACUAACACUGCUAUAAAUUUUUUGAAACUCUGUUGCAGAAAGACAAUGGCCAAAUGGGUAGAUCAAGUGAGAGUGAGCUUUGAGAGUGGCCUUGAAGGACCACAUGAAGAUGGUUACAACUGGAGAAAAUAUGGACAGAAAGAUAUCCUUGGUGCCAAAUAUCCCAGGUGUGAGGAAUUUCCCUUAUCCUGCUUGAGACAAGUUUCACAAGAAUUCUUAUGUAUAAACAAUGGAUUUACUUGUACAAGCAUGUAACUAAAAUUCUAUUUUGACAUUUGCAGAAGUUAUUAUAGGUGCACCUUCCGGAACACUCAGGGGUGCUGGGCCACGAAGCAAGUACAGAGAUCAGACGAAGAUCCUACCAUAUUUGACAUAACUUACAAAGGAAGGCAUACCUGUUCUCAGGGAAACAAGGCUGUUCCGCAACCGAAAUCGCCAGACAAACAUGAGAAACUGCAAUGUCAUAGUAACGAAAUUCAGCAUAGACAAACAUCAGAAGAAAGC
rnacentral:lncRNA from 1 species